UCGUAAUUGCCAGCUUUACGUAAGGCUGUUUGUACAUGUGUUAUCAUGAAAUACGGUGCUGUUUGUACAAUUGUUUGCUCCCUUCUCGCCGCGGCGACGCCACGUUUAGCGUGACCACGGACGAAAAAAUUCCGGACGAAGGCCUUUCGGGCUGGAAUUAAUUUAUCGCCCGCCAAACUCUCCCCGCGGCUCGACGAUCCACGCUCUGACGUCCUUCCGCGACGUGAUUCAAGUAUUUUAACCGUGGUAUUUGCGAAGUGGCAGCCCAUCGCGUCGCAACCAGGUCCGAUUCGCCAACAAAGCAUCGAGAUAAGAAUCGGAUCUUCCAGUUUGUCGUCGUAAUCGUAAACGCUCGUUUGGCUGGCAAUGCCGGCUCCUGAACGAGUUUUCGUUGAACUUUUCUGGAAGACAAAGAGGAAGAAUUGGUUGGAUAGUUGAGAUGCCGAUAAUCGAUGCUUGAUAGGAUUAAUUGGUGUCUCAUGGUCGUCGAAAGCGAGGGAGAAACAGGUGUAGGCAGCCAGUGAAGUUAAGUUUCGUUGGGGUAUCGUGACUACUGGUCAGUUUGUUCGAUAGUUGGUACCAGCCAGCACGGAUGGCCAUAUACCAGGUACGCCUUAGGGGCCUUGGUACCGAGCUGUACCAAGAGGGCCACCGGUCAAUACCUUCAGACCUUCGAAGCACCGUGAAAAACGUAAGCAAAGUGCCAGCCGGCCUCGUCUUGGACGAACUCUAGCCUCGUGCAUGGCACCGAUCGUAGACUCGAAAUCAUGCGAUCACGAAUGACACUGGUGAUUCGUUUGCUAGAUAGGAAGAUUAACAAUUGCAUCACUAGUGCUUGCAACUACAGCUUAUUCUACAAAUCAUCAGAUCAAAGGCUUCCACUCAAAGUAUUCCACGAAUAUACAACUGGUUACAUGCAUACGUAAAACGUAUAAAAUUCACAGUUGCAUCGGGCCACCCAAUAACUUUACGUGCACACAAUAACUACAAAUGCAGAAGACUGGACUCGACACUUUAAAAGCAGCACA